rnacentral:lncRNA from 1 species
AAAAAAUACAACAGAAUUAAAAGAGAAAAUACUAGAUCUGCAAUGCAGGUCUAUGAGGAAUAAUUUGGUAUUUACAGGUCUCGAAGAGUCUGCUGAAGAAAACACCAAACAAGUGCUGCAUAAAUUUAUAAGGGAAGAACUCGAUAUUAGAAAAGAAAUUCAACUUGGAACCGUUCAUCGAUUUGGACAAAAAGAUAACAAUGGCAGGCACAGACCUAUUGUGGCGAGCUUUAUUUUUUAUGAAGAUCUGCAAUCCGUAUUAUAUUCCGGACCAAAACUAAAAAAUAAACCAAACUUUGGCAUAAAUACUCAGUUCCCAAGAGAGAUUGAAGAGAGAAGAAAAAAAUUGUACCCCGUGAUGAAAGAGGCAAAGAAAAAAGGAAAAAGAGCAUACAUGAUAAAAGAUAAGCUUUUUAUCGAGGGAAAUAUUUAUAAACCGGAAAUUAAGAAACAAUCACCUGGUGAACAAAAAACCGAACAGUCGACUUCCCUCUCAGGAACACCACCAACAGACAACAGGAAAUCACAAAAACGAGCAAGACAUGGGUCAGAACAAGAAUAGGGGCACGAAGAAGGAGUAGCUGAAGAAAAUGAAAAAAGAUGUUAUUGUGUGUCUGUUAACAAUAGUGUUUGUAAAUUAAAUAUUCUUAGUUUAAAUGUCUGUGGCAUAAAGAAACGAC